UACAGAGGUCCCGAGCGUUGUUCGGAUUCAUUGGGCGUAAAGGGUGCGUAGGUGGCGCUGUAAGUGGGGUGUGAAAUCCCGGGGCUUAACCCCGGGACUGCAUUCCAUACUGCGGUGCUUGAGGACUGGAGAGGAGACUGGAAUUUACGGUGUAGCAGUGAAAUGCGUAGAGAUCGUAAGGAAGACCAGUGGCGAAGGCGGGUCUCUGGACAGUUCCCGACACUGAGGCACGAAGGCCAGGGGAGCAAACGGG
rnacentral:rRNA from 1 species